UGUAGUCAUAUGCUUGUCUCAAAGAUUAAGCCAUGCAUGUCUAAGUAUAAGCAAUUAUACCGCGAAACUGCGAAUGGCUCAUUAAAUCAGUUAUCGUUUAUUUGAUAGUACCUUACUACAUGGAUAACCGUGGUAAUUCUAGAGCUAAUACAUGCUAAAAAUCCCGACUUCGGAAGGGAUGUAUUUAUUAGAUUAAAAACCAAUGCCCUUCGGGGCUCUCUGGUGAUUCAUAAUAACUUCUCGAAUCGCACGGCCUUGCGCCGGCGAUGGUUCAUUCAAAUUUCUGCCCUAUCAACUUUCGACGGCUGGGUCUUGGCCAGCCGUGGUGACAACGGGUAACGGAGGGUUAGGGCUCGACCCCGGAGAAGGAGCCUGAGAAACGGCUACUACAUCCAAGGAAGGCAGCAGGCGCGCAAAUUACCCAAUCCCGACACGGGGAGGUAGUGACAAUAAAUACUGAUACAGGGCUCUUUCGGGUCUUGUAAUUGGAAUGAGUACAAUUUAAAUCCCUUAACAAGGAACAAUUGGAGGGCAAGUCUGGU
rnacentral:rRNA from 1 species